CCUACGGGAGGCAGCAGUAGGGAAUAUUGCUCAAUGGGGGAAACCCUGAAGCAGCAACGCCGCGUGGAGGAUGAAGGUUUUCGGAUUUUUAACUCCUUUUUUUAGAGAAGAUAAUGACGGUAUCUAACGAAUAAGCACCGUCUAACUCCGUGCCAGCUGCCGUGGUAAUACGGAGGGUGCAACCGUUACUCGGAAUCACUGGGCGUAAAGAGCGCGUAUGCGGGAUAGCAAGUCAGAUGUGAAAACGUAUGGGUUAACCAUAGAACUGCAUUUGAAACUGGUAUUCUAGAGUAUGGGAGAGGUAGGUGGAAUGCUUGGUGUAGGGGUGAAAUGCGUAGAGAUCAAGAAGAAUACUGAUUGCGAAGGCAGCCUACUAGCGCAAAACUGACGCUGAUGCGCGAAAGCGUGGGGAGCGAACAGGAUUAGAUACCCUGGUAGUC
rnacentral:rRNA from 1 species